CCCUUAGAUGUUCUGGGCCGCACGCGCGCUACACUGUUCGACGCAGCGAGUCUUAACCUUGACCGAAAGGUUUGGGUAAUCUUCAGCAAAGUCGAACGUGAUGGGGAUCGAUCAUUGCAAUUAUUGAUCGUGAACGAGGAAUUCCUAGUAAGUGCAAGUCAUCAGCUUGCGCUGAUUACGUCCCUGCCCUUUGUACACACCGCCCGUCGCCACUACCGAUUGAAUGGUUUAGUGAGAUCUCUGGAUUGACGCUGGCUAGGGGGCGACCCUUGGCCAGACUGUUGAGAAACUGCUCAAACUUGAUCAUUUAGAGGAAGUAAAAGUCGUAACA
rnacentral:rRNA from 1 species